UCAAAUAUGAAGUGUUCAGUUUUCUGUCCCACUUCAGUUUUCCACUAAGUUGCUUCAACCUAAAAUCUAAUACUUUCUCCCUUGUGACCAAUCCUGACAGUACUAACUUUUAAAAAUAAAUAGGAUGUGCUUUAAAACACAUAAAUUAGCAACCUUGUGUACGUAUAGGAAAUCCCUGAAACAAGACAUGACACUGAUCAUACUGAUUUCUCCUUUUGCUCUCUGAAUAACCUAUUCACAAACUAACAGAAUUUGAUGUGCAGCUUUUUGGAGAGGAACUGGGAAUAGAAACACACUGGUGAGGGUUUGUCUCGUGUCUCGCACUGGAUCGCCUUCAUUAUUACUGUCUGAAACACAAUUAAGACAAAACAAAACCCAAAACUAAAGAAAGCUAUUCAGAUCCAGUUAUUAACUUAAAAAGACACACCAUUUAGUUCUGUGUCUCUGCAAGUCCUUGCAUCUUCUCAGCAAGAGUCACGAAGACAAACUGGUGGGCAGCUCAUCUGCUUCCACUUGGCAAGUGCGAGCUUAAACAGCAUCACCAUCCCAUUUUGUUUUUGAAAGAUAGGAGACUGGAGAAAGGACAAGGCAAGUGGGUGUGUCACUUUUGUUGAUAAGAAGUCAUUGUAAAGUAAUGGUGGGCACUGGUGCAUGCCUUUAAUCCCAGAACUUGGGAGGCAGAGGGGAGCAGAUUGGAGUUUGAAACCAUCCUGAUCUACAGAGUUGGCCCUGUCUUGAAACCCUCUGCAGAUAUUCCAUAUAAAUUUUGACUGGUUAGGGCCUGCCUUUGGAGUUUGCACCCAUUGCUGCUAUGAGUUGAGCUGUCCCCACCACCCCAAAUUCUUAUGUGGAAACGUAAUCCUUAUUGCAUUAGUUGGGAGCUACUCUGACUAUAGAUAUUAUAGUUAUGUCAGAUGAGGUCUCUGUUGGGUAUAAGUGCAGUAUGACCGAGGUCCUCAAAGAGGAAAUAUGGACAGAGACAGGUAUUUAUAGAGGAAAAACAGUGUGAAGGAAUCAGGGAGAAAAGACCCAUGGAAAAGCCAUAACAGAUGCUUGGAACAGUCCACCUCGCAGCUCCUAGAGAGAGGAAUCCCUGUCUCUGCCUUGACUGGCCCUCUGGCCUCAGAACUUGGAGACAUCAAGUCUUUGUUACUUAAGCCUCACCAGGACUUCCUUGCUGUUCUCUUUUCUAUGUAAGACUUCACAACAGUGAAAAGUCAUUUUAGUAACUUGGCUCCUACCUCAGAGCCACCAGCAGGAAACCUUGAAGCCCUGAGCUUGGUUUUUGGGGCCAGCCUGUCCUCUGUUGCCAUUACUGCAUUUUGAAGUUAUAUUCAUUUAUGGCUUAGAAACUUAUUAGACCACUUUAAUUUAGUAAUAAGUUACUUAACAUGCUGCACUGUUUACUUGGCGAGCCAAGCUAUCAUCUGGUCUUUAGAGUUAGUAAGGUUAAAAUGUGGUCUGUGUUAAAGGCAUUCAAGUUUGCACCAUAUUUUCACCUGACAUUUCAUUGUAAUGAGAACUUUAACAUACAGGUGUGAUAUUCCAUGUAUCAUUAGGAGCAUCUCGGAUAUCAAAGAUGAACACGAAUAAAAAUUGUCAUCAUGCCAAUUCUCUAAGACCUUCCAACACUUCAUGAGGUAGGGGAACUGCCACCAGUCUAAGCUCAUGAAAUAACAGUUAAGUGAAGCAAGCAGUAAUCCCCAGCAUUCCAACACAGCUUCUUUCAUGUGCUGUGUUCAUCAUCUUGACCCGAGUAGGAAAUCUUAUACUCUGUGAGCCAUUGUUUCUCAAGGGGACCUGAUCCACCUUCUACCCUAGGCAGUGCGGGGACAGUAAGCAAUGUUUAAAGACACUUUUCAUUUUAACAACUGGGGUAGGGGCAAGGGUACUACUGACAUCUAAUGAGUAGAAGCCAGACCUGCCACUCCCAUUCUACCAUGCACAGGACAGUUGCUUGGCAACACUGGGGCUGAGAGAGCCUAGUAAAUGACCCUGUUAUUCUCCAACAGCAUUCUUACCGGAACUUCAAGGCCCCAUUUUCUUGAAAGCAGCAUUUCAAGUCCAUGAAAAUAGCUUUAAACUAGGAGAUCCUUGCUGCUGUGCUCGGAAUGUUUAUGCUCUCCUGAAAUUCUCAUCCUGAAUCAACCCUCAGUGGCUAAUGUGAUGGGGUAGGGGGUGCCCUUUGGAAAAUGGCCCGUCAGGAGGGAUCCACCCUCUUGGUUGGAAUCGGUGUCCUUAGGAAAGGCAUGAAUGGGCUUGCUCAUCUCCCCAUUCCACUUUAGGACGACACAACGGAACAGGCUCUAUCAGACAAUCUGGUGCUAUGGUCUUGGGUUUCCCGGCUUCCAGAACCGUAGGCAGAGUUUGUUUAUAGAUAACCCAGAAUGAGAGAUUCUGUUAAAGCAGCAGGAAGGGACCAAAACGUGUUUAUACGUUUAAUAUGUAUUUAUAAACACUUUUAAUUCACUGGAAAAAAUGUGAGUUGAUUUCUAAAAUUAUGGAAUUCCAUAAGCUUCACAUUGUACACUGGCGUUUGUAUGGAGUGGCAAACAACAUAUGAAUGUUUAACUAAUAUAUGAUCUUUCUUUAUUCUCCUUGUUCAAGGGAUGAGGUUGAAAGAGGUUUGGUACAGGAAAGCUGGAAGGAAAGACACACUGAAGCUUUGGUAGAUGUCUGUCAAAGCAAAAUAAAGCCACACCGCAAGGCAGGG
rnacentral:lncRNA from 1 species